AUUUCCAAAUGUGAUUUGGGCAUUGGAUUGUACGCAGAUCCGAAUAAAGGCCCCAUCAGGUCCAAAUGAGCCAGAUUACGUGAACAGAAAAGGCUUCCACAGUAUUAACGUGCAGAUGAUCUGUGAUGCAUCCUACCUUGUAUCGAAUGUGGAGGCUAAAUGGCCAGGGUCUAUUCAUGACUCUAGAAUUUUUAAGGAGUCACACCUGUAUCGGACAUUUAAACAAGGUUGCCAUGAUUGAAUCCUGCUUGUGGACAGGGGAUAUGUCUGUAGGAAUUUUCUAAUGACCCCGUUUCCUGACCCCAACCCUGGGCCACAAACUUGAUAUAGUGCAGCUCUGUCUAGGACAAGGGCACAAAUUGAAAUGACCUUUGACCACCUGAAGGAGAUAUUUCAAUGUCUAAAACGGCUGAGGGUUGCACCUGACAGAGCAUGUGACAUAAUUGUGCAUGUUC